GAAAACAAUUCACAGGGUAAACCCAACAGGGCCUGGCUCAGCAAAGGUCAGCUGCUGGCUCCUGUGCUGUUUCAUCGUGAAUGGUCACCACACCACAUGGCAGGGCUGGGCUGAGGCGGCUGCGCCUGGACCUGCUCCACGGCGGCCCCCGAGCUCCGUACUGAGGCGGGUCCUCCUCUCCUGCCCCCAGCUGCGCGCUCCCAGCGGAGGGGAAGCUCCCAGCCUGGCCCGGGCUCCCAGCGGCGCCGGAAUGCCCGGCAUCUGAGGAGGCGGCGGCCGGCAGCUGGGAGGGAGAAGGGGGCUGUCCACUCCUCGGCCUGGAACAGGGAAGGGGACGAGCCCCUCAGCUCUCCAGAUGCGUCCCAGCUGUGCCUCUGCGGGGAGCCAGGAGCCUCAGCCAGGGGGUCUCUGGAGCCCGUGGGCCAGCCCUGGGCUCUAGGCUGGCCUCCGCCCCGCCUGGUCCCCGGCCCUGAAUUCCGUCCCUCCCGCCUGCCCGGCUCCUGCUCUGCUUCCUGGCCCCCGGCCCCCGCUCCACCGCCUCCUCAGGAAUACUUGCCUUGCUGGCCUACUUCAGCCUGCCCUUUGCAAGCUCAGCCUUUACAGCUACAAUGAAGACAGGCUUGAAAAGCGAAAGCAGGGGCGGCUGCCCACUCGGGGGUUCGGGGUUAAUGCCCGCCAAAGCCAGUUAGCCCACGUCAACGCCAGCUCCCAUGCGAAACAUGGUUAUUUUGCCUCGAGGCUUUCUCACCAGCUGUCAGGAAGACCUCUGCCUGUCGCCAACCUCACAGGGCAACAAAAAUGAUGGCACCCUCUACACCCCAGAUGAUCUUUCGGUGAGU